ACUGAGCGGGUGUAGGCUGUUGGUCCAGGGUUCGAUCCUUGGCAGCAGCAAUGUAGUAUUUUCUUUGUAAACAAGUUGGUGGUACUUAUAAACCAUCAGCUUUUAUAAAAAAAAAAAAUGAGAUGCCGAUUAGGAAUGUUGUGUCUUGAAAUACCAUGAUUGAUGGGUAUGCGCGGAAUGGUCAAACUGAACAGGCUUUGGAUUUGUUUAGAAGAAUACUGGAGAGGAAUGUGGUUUCUUGAAAUACAAUCAUGACGGCCUUGGCGCAUUCGGGGAGGAUUGAUGAUGCACAAAGGCUUUUUAAUAAGAUGCGGGAAAGGGAUGUGGACUACUAUGGUUGCGGGUUUGUUGAAGAAUGGAAGAAUUAAUGAUGCUCGGGAAUUUUUUUAUAGGAUGCCGGUUCGUAAUGUGGUUUCUUGGAAUGCAAUGAUUGCGGGUUAUGCGCAGAAUGCGAGGUUGGAUGAGGCUUUAAAGUUGUUUGAGAGAAUGCCUCAGAGGGAUAUGCCUUCGUGGAAUACAAUGGUUACGGGUUUCAUUCAAAAUAGGGACUUAAAUAGUGCAGAGAAGUUUUUUUUUUAGAGAAGUUAUUUGAUGCAAUGCCUCAAAAGAAUAUCAUUACUUGGACUGCUAUGAUGACAGCCGACAGGGUAUGUACAACAUGCUUGGAGCAUACUACUUGCUUAAGCUUAUUGAGUCUGAGCUGCAAGCAUACUUGUCUGCAACAGAGGAUCGAGUGGUACAGUUUCUUACUAUUUUCCAUUGCACUUUUUUCUUUAAUUCUAUUGUUAUUAUUUUCUUUAUUGCUUCAGUUCAGUGUCACAUUCUAGUUCAAUUUCUCCACUCACCCCUUCCUUAAAAUAGUUGGAAGGUGGCUUAUAAUGCUAUGACAAGUAUAGUUUAGUAAAUAACUUUACCUUUUGUCUUUUGUCACCAAUGCCCUGGAAUAUACCUUAUUAAGAUAUCUUCUAUCUUGGUAUUCCUUAUAUUUCUUUUUUGUCCCUAGUUUCAAAAUCUUACAGUUUACUUCACUGCUUUUAUCUUUUAAACUUUAUUUGAUGGUUUGCCGGAUCGUUGGCCCUGCGGAGUACAUGACAGUGAUCAUUUUUUGCAUGCUAUUAGAGACUUGCUGAAAACUUAUUCAAAUACUCAAGUUGCACUGUCGAGAUACGUAUCAGCACCAGGCAUUGUCCAACAGAUAUCAGCCCUUCAUUCAGAUUUAAUGACACUUCAAUCAGACCUUGAAAAUUCUCUUCCAGAAGAACGAAAUAGGUGUAUUAAUGAACUGUGCGACCUUAUUCAAAAUAUGCAACAACUGCUCUUUGCAUCUUCAACAACUGCAAAGCCAAUAUUGACCCCUCCGGCAAGUUAGUUUGUUCGGAGGAGGGGGGAAUGUUAGUAGCAGAGAUUUAAACCCUGGACCUUCUUGCACAUGAUUCCUUCAGUAUCAAGACCCGAACCACUGGGCUACUCAGUCAGGGACUUUAAACUGUUACUAAAAUUACUGAAGAGUAGUUUAUGUCUCCGAUAUUUCUGUUCAGAGUAAUUUCAAGUGAAAUUAUUUGCCACUUUUUGAUUGCUUGGUGGCUUUGUGUGAGAUAAUAUGAUGUAGGAGCAGGCAAAGAGUUCAGAAUUCAAAGGCUUCACUGGCAGACUCGAAUACUCGGUCUUGUAGUUGUUGCCCAAAAUGUGCUUUGUUAGAUGAAACGAAACGACUGUGCUAUUGAAUCAGUUUAUGGAAAGCACAGGUUGUUGCAAAGUGGGUUGGUUUCAAACAAAGCAUUUGAAGAUGCAACACAAUCUUGUCUUGUCCAUUGCAUUUUGUAAGUGUAUUUACCAUUAUGUAUUUGGCUUCAUAAGUUUGGAAUCGCUAAAAUGCAUUAUAUAUUGCUAAUUAUAAGAGAUGCUAUGCCAGCAUGGUUUUAUUGGUUGAGUUGCAAAAUAAAUUUGUGAGUCGGAUCUGAUAUUUGAAAUCCAUUUUAUCAGCUAUACUAAUCAAUAGUUGGUUCCUUAAACGGUUCAGAUAAAAGAAGGAAGACUUGUACUACGCUUUUUAUUACAUGAACUAGUAUUACAAAUUUUCAAUUAGGGACAUGGAUGACAUUUAUGUAUUAUAAUUCUUAGUAAGUACACAAGGAGUAGUCAAAAGAGAUGUUAGAGAAAGAAGGUCUGAUUUCUCUCUAAAACUUUUCACAAACAAUCAAUCCUAACCAUAAACCACCAAACACAUAUAAUCAAAUCCUAAGCUCAACAUAAGCUAUUCACCAUGAUCUAUGAUAAGACGAAGAAUAGUACAAAGGAAUGGAUUUAGGUCACGAGAGGUAAGAAGCAUCAGGACGGGAGAAAGCAUGCAUGGGACACAAGCAAAGGAAGAAACAAAGACUAAACGGAGAAUAACAAAACGAGUAAAUUCUUCUUCACGGAAUUACCAGAAGACUUCGGAGCCAAGGAAAUGUACAUGAUCUUCAAGGAGUUUUGUGAGAUAGACGAAGUUAUCAUACCACCGAGAAGAGACAAGAGAGGCAAACGAUUUGGUUUUGCAAGAUUCUUCAAUGUCAUGGAUGAAAAGUUGAUGGCUAAAAAACUUGACAACAUUAUCAUUGGGUCAAGGAAAAUUUACGCAAACAUACCAAGGUUCAGCCGUGAAACAAGACGAGAAACUACUAGAGAAAAAAUCCAGCAACGACUAAAUCAAGGUGGUAUGGUUGAGGAGAUGGAGGGAAAUCAGGAUAAAAGGAACAUAGUUGAUGGAGAAAAGCAGCAUGGAGAAAAACUUGCAAGAUUGAGCCUAUAUUAACCAAUUAAUACCAUUUUCUGUAAUUUAACUUUUUGUAUGAAAUAAAAUUUCUUUUUUAUUUAUUUUCCGCUUUCAGCAUGAAGAAGCACUGCUUCCCUCCCAGUUGUCUACAGGUAUCACAUGGAUUUGAGGUUCUAGUCUUGAAGCUAAUGGUUGCUUUUUUUAUCCUUAGAGAGAAUUCAAAUGGAAAUCGUGUCGAAGUAUGAGAUUCCAAAGAUAAAGCAUUCUGCUAGAGGAUUUUUUGUUGUGUGGAAGUUGCUUAGUAUUCACUUGUAACGAGAAAGUUUGAAAAGAUUUAAUCUCUAAUCUAAUGGUUUAAAUUAGAUUAUUAAAAUUGUCAUUAGAAUGAAACUCGAACAAUAAAAUCUCAUUAGUUACCAUUCAAUGUCAUUCAAUUCCAUCUUAUAUCAUUAAUUCAAACAUACUCUAAUGUGA